rnacentral:rRNA from 1 species
UUGGAGGGCAAGUCUGGUGCCAGCAGCCGCGGUAAUUCCAGCUCCAAUAGCGUAUAUUAAAGUUGUUGCAGUUAAAAAGCUCGUAGUUGAAUUUCGGGAUCAAUGUUUCGGUCAUGCCGUUGGUAUGUACUGAUAUUAUUGGUUUCUCACCUUCUAAAGAACCGUAAUGCCAUUAAUUUGGUGUCACGGGGAAUUAGGACUGUUACCUUGAAAAAAUUAGAGUGUUUAAAGCAGGCUCACGCUUGAAUACAUUAGCAUGGAAUAAUGAAAUAGGACAUCCGAUUCUAUUUUGUUGGUUUCUAGGAUCGAUGUAAUGAUUAAUAGGGAUAGUUGGGGGCAUUAGUAUUCAAUUGUCAGAGGUGAAAUUCUUGGAUUUACUGAAGACUAACUACUGCGAAAGCAUUUGCCAAGGAUGUUUUCAUUAAUCAAGAACGGAAGUUAGGGGAUCGAAGACGAUCAGAUACCGUCGUAGUCUUAACCAUAAACUAUGCCGACUAGGGAUCGGAUGAUGUUAAUUUUUUAAUGACUCAUUCGGCACCUUACGGGAAACCAAAG